rnacentral:rRNA from 6 species
UAUCUCGGCUCUUGCAUCGAUGAAGAACGUAGCGAAAUGCGAUACUUGGUGUGAAUUGCAGAAUCCCGUGAACCAUCGAGUCUUUGAACGCAAGUUGCGCCUGAAGCCAUUAGGUUGAAGGCACGUCUGCCUGGGCGUCACGCAUUGCGUCACCCACUCCCCCGUGCCUAAGCGGGCAU